GAGGAAUAUUGGUCAAUGGGCGAGAGCCUGAACCAGCCAAGUCGCGUGAAGGAUGACUGUCUUAUGGAUUGUAAACUUCUUUUAUACGGGAAUAACAAGAGUCACGUGUGACUCCCUGCAUGUACCGUAUGAAUAAGCAUCGGCUAACUCCGUGCCAGCAGCCGCGGUAAUACGGAGGAUGCGAGCGUUAUCCGGAUUUAUUGGGUUUAAAGGGUGCGUAGGCGGCCUGUUAAGUCAGCGGUGAAAUCUAGGAGCUUAACUCCUAAAUUGCCAUUGAUACUGGCGGGCUUGAGUGUAGAUGAGGUAGGCGGAAUGCGUGGUGUAGCGGUGGAAUGCAUAGAUAUCACGCAGAACUCCGAUUGCGAAGGCAGCUUACUAAGGUACAACUGACGCUGAAGCACGAAAGCGUGGGUAUCAAACAGGAUUAGAUACCCUGGUAGUCCACGCGGUAAACGAUGAUAACUGGGCGUAUGCGAUAUACAGUAUGCUCCUAAGCGAAAGCGUUAAGUUAUCCACCUGGGGAGUACGCCGGCAACGGUG
rnacentral:rRNA from 1 species